rnacentral:rRNA from 1 species
AACAGGAUUAGAUACCCUGGUAGUCCACGCCGUAAACGAUGCUAACUCGUUUUUGGGAUGUAAGUUUCAGAGACUAAGCGAAAGUGAUAAGUUAGCCACCUGGGGAGUACGUUCGCAAGAAUGAAACUCAAAGGAAUUGACGGGGGCCCGCACAAGCGGUGGAUUAUGUGGUUUAAUUCGAUGAUACGCGAGGAACCUUACCAGGGCUUAAAUGGGAAAUGACAGGUUUAGAAAUAGACUUUUCUUCGGACAUUUUUCAAGGUGCUGCAUGGUUGUCGUCAGCUCGUGCCGUGAGGUGUUAGGUUAAGUCCUGCAACGAGCGCAACCCCUGUCACUAGUUGCCAUCAUUAAGUUGGGGACUCUAGUGAGACUGCCUACGCAAGUAGAGAGGAAGGUGGGGAUGACGUCAAAUCAUCACGGCCCUUACGCCUUGGGCCACACACGUAAUACAAUGGCCGGUACAGAGGGCAGCUACACAGCGAUGUGAUGCAAAUCUCGAAAGCCGGUCUCAGUUCGGAUUGGAGUCUGCAACUCGACUCUAUGAAGCUGGAAUCGCUAGUAAUCGCGCAUCAGCCAUGGCGCGGUGAAUACGUUCCCGGGCCUUGUACACACCGCCCGUCAAGCCAUGGAAGUCUGGGGUACCUGAAGUCGGUGACCGUAACAGGAGCUGCCUAGGGUAAAACAGGUAACUAGGGCUAAGUCGUAACAAGGUAACC